rnacentral:rRNA from 1 species
UAGGGAAUCUUCGGCAAUGGACGAAAGUCUGACCGAGCAACGCCGCGUGAGUGAAGAAGGUUUUCGGAUCGUAAAACUCUGUUGUUAGAGAAGAACAAGGACGUUAGUAACUGAACGUCCCCUGACGGUAUCUAACCAGAAAGCCACGGCUAACUACGUGCCAGCAGCCGCGGUAAUACGUAGGUGGCAAGCGUUGUCCGGAUUUAUUGGGCGUAAAGCGAGCGCAGGCGGUUUCUUAAGUCUGAUGUGAAAGCCCCCGGCUCAACCGGGGAGGGUCAUUGGAAACUGGGAGACUUGAGUGCAGAAGAGGAGAGUGGAAUUCCAUGUGUAGCGGUGAAAUGCGUAGAUAUAUGAAGGAACACCAGUGGCGAAGGCGGCUCUCUAGUCUGUAACUGACGCUGGGGCUCGAAAGCGUGGGGAGCAAACAGG